CACAAGCGGAGGAGCAUGUGGUUUAAUUCGAUGAUACGCGAGGAACCUUACCUGGGCUCGAACGUAAGAUGACUGUAGGUGAAAGCUUACAUCUCUUCGGAGCAUUUUACGAGGUGCUGCAUGGUUGUCGUCAGCUCGUGCCGUGAGGUGUCGGGUUAAGUCCCAUAACGAGCGCAACCCCUACCUUUAGUUGCCAUCAGGUUAAGCUGGGGACUCUAAAGGAACUGCCUACGCAAGUAGUGAGGAAGGCGGGGAUGACGUCAAAUCAGCACGGCCCUUACGUCCAGGGCUACACACGUGCUACAAUGGCCGAUACAGAGGGCAGCUACCUGGUGACAGGAUGCAAAUCUCCAAAGUCGGUCUCAGUUCGGAUCGGAGUCUGCAACCCGACUCCGUGAAGUUGGAUUCGCUAGUAAUCGCGCAUCAGCCAUGGCGCGGUGAAUACGUUCCCGGGCCUU
rnacentral:rRNA from 1 species